AAGAAACCAAAGGCAUCUAUGAAUAUGUCAGAAAAUGCCACCCAGGGGGCUUUAUUUAGCCACACAUGGAGGUAUCAGUGUGGGAAUGAAGAUGGAAUAAUUACACCCUCGGCGCUCAGCUCAGAGUUGCUGAAGCGAAGACAGAUCAGCAGCCUCCUGUGAAGGACAGACAUAAUCGGAAAUACAAGCAGCGGAAGCAGAUUUAGGAGAAAAUAAUGCAAAGGGUCAGCAGAGUGAUGAGUGAUCCCAAACUGCUACAGGGACUGGCUGAUGGUUGUUCCUCAUGGUGAAUCCCACCUCUCCUCAAGCUCAAUGCGUAAUCAGGUGUGUAUACCCAAUUUUGAGCUCUCGUUUCUUGGUGUGGAUUUGUUAGUUCGGGCCCAGUGUUGACAUUCGGCUCGUUUCCUGAUUCUUGGUUUAUGUCUGCGUCUUGGAUCCCGUUUGCCCAUCGCCUAACCUUGUUUAGCCCUUCAACACUGCAGGUGAUUUAGAGACACCUGUUCACUGCCGACAAGUUUUUGGACACCCACGAGAAAGAGGGAGAGUGCAGUGACAGAAAAGGGGUGGGAUUCACACCCCCAACCUCGGAGGUGUGAAGCAGCAGCACCACUCACUGAGCCGCCGCGUCUGCUUAUAAGACGAAAUGCAAGUAAAAAUAUAUAUCAUAAGACACUUAAAAUGUCUUUCAUUCCCUGCCUUGUUAGAGAAUUUAACAGCGUAAAGAUUGUUGCUUUUUUUAAUUUACAAAACUCAAACUAAGGUUGAUUCUCUUUCCAUCUGAGACAAGGGUGGGUAAUCAUGCGCAAAGUGCUGGUGUGUGUGUAGGUUUUUGGGAUAACCCUCCGGUCAGCUCUUCAAACCCAGGUGUGAGCACUCUUCAGCCAAUCAGUCCUCUGAUUAGUAAUGUAAUUAAGGAGUUAUAGUGAACAUCCGCACACCCAAUGGCCCUUUCUGGGGUCAAGAUGGCCCACCCCGAUCCAAGGGAAAGUACGUGGAAAACUCAGGAUGGAUUUUCCUUCUUCACUGGGGUUCCUUUUGAAGCCUGAUGUACGGUGCAAUAAAAAUCUUUUAAGGCAAACCGUUAGUAAAUUCCUAAAGUGAACUUUUGCUCAAACUGUAAAUUGGGACUCCAAUAGAAAUUAGAAAAAAAACACUGAAAUAACAGCACAACCUGUUCUAUCGAGAAAGAUAAAAUCUUAUUGAAAGCAGGAGUUAACAGGCAUAUCUGAGCAGGUUUGUGUUUUUUAGCAUCCACUCUGUACAAGUUUUUAAGAAGCCUUGGGAGAGGAUUCCGUAUAUGAGGGCCAUGGCAACUAAAAGCUGAGUGUGUAUUUUGAAGGGAUGUCCAAAGUGCUCUGGAGGGGUCAUAUCCAAAAAAACAGGGGGGGGGGUGGAAGGUGAAAGCAGCUGUUUUUGAUGGUCUUUGGCUUUCAAACAUCUGGUUUCAAAACAGGGCAGAAUGUCUUUUCUUUUCAAGAGUUUUUCUGCCUUGGUUGUUCUGAGCUUUAGAAACAUCCUGGCAUCGAUGUCAUCGGUGCAGUCAAGCAGACAGCUGACAGAUCUCUGAGCAUCUGGUUCCAGAGACACAUAUAACUGUGGCGUCCACAUAUUGUUGGAAGCUGAUGUUCAUUUAUUUAUUGUACUGAUCGGAAGUGGUAUAUAAAAUCUGAAUAAGAACGGUCCUAGAAUUGAACCACGGGGGACCCUACAAUGAUGUGUGCCACUUGUAAACAAACAUGCCACCUGUGCAAUUCAGAACUGUGAUGCAUUACAAAAUCAAAAGCAGCAUGACUGUCCCAUCCAUGUUCUGUUCUCAUAUGCACUCCAGAAUAUGAUAGUGAAGCAAAUAAUUGUUUACCUAGUUUGUUUGUUAACCCAUGAAGACCUGGGAGAAGUACUAUGAAGCAAAUAUAAUUUCUUGAGCCUUACUUCUGAGUUUAUGAUAAGGUUUUCUGUAGGGGGGGGGAUUAUUACCAACUGCUGUAGAUUUUUGUUUAGUUUGUCUCCUUACUAUAAUCUUUAGACACAUGCAACUUUUUUUAUCCAAAUGACUAAAAAUUUUUAACUGAAUUGAACUGAUAACAGUGAAGAUUGACGAAGAUUAUUGCACUCAGACACACAUAGAGACGGACACGCGUACUGGCAGGUGGCUGCCGGUGAUUCCUGCAGGACAUACCAUGUGUCACUCUGUGUGUGUGUGCCCGUGUGUGAGCUCACACUGCCCUGGCUUCAUUACUGUGCCGUCACGUCACCCUGAGCAGAUGGACGCGUCAGAUGGAUGGGGGCUCCUUGAACCAACCGCUUGCUGUGAUCCACACGUCAGAGCACACUGAGCUCUCUCGCUUUUUGGAUGGAAUGAAUAAGCUAAAAGUGGUGAGAUGAUGGUAAAUGACCUUUCUGGAUGCCACGGGGCCAGAAGAGAGAGAGCAGACAUUCUUCACGCCAGUCCUCAUGGACCCCCCCAGAUAGUCUAUGCUUUUGCUCUCGCUCUCCCAGCUCCAGGUCAGCAGAACUGGCUUGAGAAACACCGAUGUAGACGUUCCUCUUGCUGUUAUACUGCUUUAUUGUUUAUUGCAUUAUGUAUUGUUUAUUGUUUUAUGUAUCUACCCUCACUACAAAUCAUGGCUUGCAUGAAUUUGUGAUUUAAAUGAAAGAAUCCGAAAGUGGACAUGGAUGAGUUGUUUUGCAUUCACAUAUAUAAAGAAGAUAUAUUGCAAGAAA